AGCCAGAUUGCCUGACUGUUAUAUUUCUUCUCCAAUGAUGAGUGUUUUCUAGACACUCCAAAAGGAUGACAAAUGCAAUGCUAAGGGUAUGGAAGAAGAGGACAGUAACCAUAACAUCCUGAACUGAUUUGGAGGGCUUCCUGUAUGCCAGGCAUGGAGGCUGCAUUGUAGGAAAGAGGAUGUUCACGGUCAGGGGAGUAAAGGUUAGCAAUGGGUUCUUUCAUCUUGAUUCUUUUACUACCAUGUGGCUCCAGUCUCUUCGGAUCU